AACGAACGCUGGCGGCAUGCCUAACACAUGCAAAUCGAACGAGACCUUCGGGUCUAGUGGCGCACGGGUGCGUAACGCGUGGGAACCUGCCCUUAGGUUCGGAAUAACUCCCCGAAAGGGGUGCUAAUACCGGAUAAUGUCUUCGGACCAAAGAUUUAUCGCCUUUGGAUGGGCCCGCGUUGGAUUAGCUAGUUGGUAGGGUAAAAGCCUACCAAGGCGACGAUCCAUAGCUGGUCUGAGAGGAUGAUCAGCCACACUGGGACUGAGACACGGCCCAGACCCCUGGGGGGGGGAGGAGGGGGGAAUAUUGGAAAAUGGGCGAAAGCCUGAUCCAGCAAUGCCGGGUGAGUGAUGAAGGCUUGAGGGUUGUAAAGCUUUUUUACCCGGGAUGAUAAUGACGGUACCGGGAGAAUAAGCCCCGGCUAACUCCGG
rnacentral:rRNA from 1 species